UACAGAGGUGGCAAGCGUUGUUCGGAAUUACUGGGCGUAAAGCGCGUGUAGGCGGUUCGAUAAGUCUGCUGUGAAAGUCCAGGGCUCAACCCUGGGAUGCCGGUGGAUACUGUCGGGCUAGAGUGCGGAAGAGGCGAGUGGAAUUCCUGGUGUAGCGGUGAAAUGCGCAGAUAUCAGGAGGAACACCAAUUGCGAAGGCAGCUCGCUGGGACGUUACUGACGCUGAGACGCGAAAGCGUGGGGAGCAAACAGG
rnacentral:rRNA from 1 species